AGCAUGGUGGCUCAGUGGUUAGAGCGCCUGCCUCAUGAACGGGAGGUCGUGGGUUCGAACCCCGGCCAAGUCA
rnacentral:tRNA from 1 species